CAUGUAAUACUACUUUCGUAUUUUGCCAGGUUUCACUUACACAGGCCAGAAUUGACAUGAGUGAGCUUGAUGAGGAUUCUGAUGGUUUUCUACAACCUCAUGAAAUGGAGGUGUAUAUACGAGGCCUUAUUCCUAAUUUGGCACAACUUCGGGACAUGCCUGCAGCCUUUUUUCAAAUGUACUGCCGCAUAGCUGCACACAAAUUUUUCUUCUUUUGUGAUCCUCACAGACGAGGUUUGUCAUGUUCUAAAUCUUAUUUAUCUUAUUCAAAAGAAAGAGUUGAAUUUCUAUAGCAUGAUUUCAAUUGAAGUCAUUAUGUAUUUUAGUGUUUCAUUUAAUGAAAUGAAAUUGCUCUGGUGCUUGUCAUUU